GUGUCCUUUUAAGGUUGACACAGUGCUUAAAGAGCCUAACACAGAAAGGUAAGGUAAGUUUCCAUAAAACCCAGAAAUGAUAUUGCAAAAUUCCUCUUUGAAUCAUGUCUGGAGUCACAGCU
ensembl:snoRNA